CUCUAGCCUUAUUUUUCUCAAUGCUAAUAUGGAGGUGUGAUUGGGCCUACUUUUUGGUUGUUGUAAGGAUUAAGCGGCGUGAUGCAUACAAAAUGCUUAACAAAGCACAUUACUGUUCUAAAACAUAGCAUAUCUUAGCUUGACUAUUAUAUAGCUAUUAUGUUAUUGUUUAAAUCAACCUCACAAUAACUCCACAAGGUAGUCAUGAUACCUCUAGUUUCUGGGUACCUUAUAGCAGAGGCAGGGGCUCUCUCUAUCUAAAAGAAAGCAUAUGAGUAGAUAGACGUACUUUGUGACAUCUUAUUUCUGACCUUAUUUCACUCUGGGAGGUGUGGAACUAAGUUAGGAACUCAGAUAAGUUCUCCAACAACUACUUCCCCUCCCAAAUCUUUGCAUGUCUAAGUUCUAAUAUAUUUCCUCCAUCCACGAAGCCAGGACCCACUUACACUCUACCAUUUGCUUGCAAAUUGAGUCUCCUGCCUCAUUCUCAACAGAGUCAUUUUUGGAAAUCGAUUCCACCCUGUUCCAGCAGACAGGAGUCCCCAUUGUAGCCCUUAUGGGGUGAGGGCUAUUGGUGUUAUAACCCUGGUUUUGACAAGCAUAUAUUUAGGACUGGCUGCAUAGUUGGCAGGGUCCAGUGCAAAAUGAAAAUGGCGACCUCUUGUUCAAAAAUUAAGAAUUUCAAGACAGACAACAGAACAUUAAACCACAAACAGGGCCUUCUUCUGAUUGCAAGGCCCUGUGCAACUUCACAGGCUGCUCAUUCAUGAAGCUGACCUUCAGUUUAGUUAAAUUGUAAGGUGGUUCCUUCGAUUUGAAAUAGCUCACUUCAUUCAUUAGUUCAUUUUCAAAAAAUAAUCCCAAGGACUGGAGCAGAUAGGGGCCAAGGAAGUACACAAUAAGAGGGAUAACAUAGGCUUUUCCUAUGAGGACAAAAUAAUCAAGUUGUGACUUGAAAGGCAAAGGAAAGGGAGCUGAACAGUAAGAAUAUGAGGACAUUAUGGACACUAUAUUCUAUGCCCCAGUGAAAGUCACUGUUUAGCCUUGGUCCUAGGUUUUCCAACAGCCACAACAAGCCGAGUAAAGGAAUAGAGGAUAGGAGGCGUGAGCUCUACCUGAAGAGAUUGUUUCCAUCAGCCCAAAGCGUUUCUCUCAAGUCAACAUCAAGUUCCACUUUUUCAUUAGUGAAAGGAAAGAAUGUUGAGUUUAUUGCCCAAAUUUUGACUUUUGGGGCAUAUUUUAUAAUUAUGAGUGAGAUGAAAGGAAAAGGGACUAAAUCUAGGGGCUUUAUUCAUUUUGCCUGUCUUUCCCACAGCCAAGCAGCAGGAAAUUCCUGUCUCUCAAAAGAGGCAGAAACAGAAAAGCAGAGAGAAACGGAUACUGACAGAAAGGAGAAACUACCAGAUAGUUCCCCAUCUCUAUCCAACUACUUGGGCUCAACUCUCACUUCAAUCAGCCGCUUAAGGACCGACAGGCUGUGGAAGACUCAGUUAAGUAGAAGAUUUGUGAAUGAGCUACUGUUAUGCGAAGUUUGAAGAAAGAAAGUCUUCACCACCCAAAUCCAGAAAUCACUCUAAAAAGGAAUGUUUCUGUGCCUUGAAGGGAGGAGGUUAGGGAGAUCCCUGUGAGCUGUGCCCCACUGAACCCAAUGAAGGCUUCUGCCAGACCUGUUCCUGUGGGAGUGGAAUCAUUGUGGGACCUGAUGAUUCAACAGUUGAUGAAGAAGCUGAAGCCAGGAGAAGCUAAUUAAAACUUCCAAAUUCCCCUAUAUUCUUUGCACUGCACCAGAGUGAACUUCCAUGGGCACUGAUUACCCAUCAUCUGGAAAGCACUGACAACAAACAACGACCACUGCAACUCUCUAUCCACUCAGAAGCCACAAUUAAACAGCAAGAUCCCUCCUUGGUGGACCUGUAAGUUAAAACAGCACAUUAAGGUGACAAAGUUGAUAAAAGUGCCAGGACCACCUCAGAGGACUCUCCAAGGAGAAGGGAGCCCAAACAAGGUGUAACUGAAAAAUCUACUUGGAUCGUAGUGCCAAAAUCUGAAGUAAAUCCUCCUUUUCCAGAUCAUACCAGGCUGGGAGUGAAAAAUAGAUUUGCAAUAACAGUAAACUCCAUACACACACACACAUACACACCCCCAGAGUAGGUCCUUGACUCAGUCUGCAGGAACGCCAGUCCUUCCUCAGUCCCCACCUCCAUAUCUUCACAUUCCUCUCACAGGAAACAGAGAAGCAAAGAGCUGUCUCACUUGAGCUCAGAAAUGAGUCCAUUUACCUACCAUGGCUGCCACACUGGGCCUCUUGUUUGUUUUCCUCUCCUGUGGUCCAGGCUCCCAGGAGUGACAGCUACUGUUUCUGCCAUUUUACUCCAUGACCAAAGAGAAGCUGCUGAAACAAGACGCCUUGUAUAGCAUCUCAUCUCCAGAGGCAGACUUCCCAAGCUUGCUGUCAGGCUAUCAUGUCCAUUUCUCAACUUCUCUGAGCUCCAACAGUCACCUUGGAACGGGGCAAGUGCCUUUCACCUAACUGUCAUUACAGAGACCACAAAGCAUUGCUUCGUUGAGCUCUCAAUGUCUGACAGAGAUUUUAGUGAGUCAAUUCUUUGAGAUUUCAUCCACUCUUGAUUGCAGUCCCUCCCCCUGUGACUAGACAAGAGUCUGGAGGGCAACCUUGUGAAUCUGUACUCUUUUCCUUUAGAGUAAGUUUUUUCUCAGGAGCCGCUGAUGUAGAUAAUCCUUGAUGUAAACAGACAGUUGGUCCAUCUUCCUCAAGAGUUCUCCAGGCAUGUCUGCCUCCUGGAGGGAACCCAGUGUGACUGUCAGGGUGGGACACCCUAUUUACACCUAGCUGGGCAGGGCUAGACACAUUAUUCUGCAUACCAUCAAUUCCCAUAAUCACAGCAUUUUAUUUGCAAGGAGUCAGGAUUUCAGAUGCAAAUUAUUAUAAAGCCAAAUAAAAAUACUCCUGGAGAGAGCCUUUAAAGCUUUAGCAAAUAAAAACUUACAAAAAGAAAAAUUUAAGCCAAAUCAUUCAGAGUUCCUAAUAUUUUUCAGCACCUAUUUUGCAGAUAAAGUGAUUUUCCCCACACACAAGUCCCCAGAAAUUAGUUUGUUAGAAGGAAACAUCUUCAUGCAUCAUGGAAGAGAGAACUGCUUGCUCCAAAAGAACACCUCAGGGACCCCUCCCUCUGGGAGGAUACAUUUGCCUCUUCCUCCCCUGACUCUUUCCUCGCUGUUGACCCCCAGAUCCUCAAGUGUUGAUAUCUUCAUCUCCUUUUACAAAUUAACAUAGGAGAGGCCUUGAUAAUCAAUUAGUUGUGCUUCCCAAUUGACUGACAAAUUAAUCGCAUUUUAAUGGAAACUCUUGGUAUCUAGUGAAACAAAGACCCUAUUGUAGAAUGAAACACAUUUUGUA
rnacentral:lncRNA from 1 species